rnacentral:rRNA from 1 species
UACGUAGGGGGCAAGCGUUGUCCGGAAUCAUUGGGCGUAAAGAGCGUGUAGGCGGCUCGAUAAGUCUGCUGUGAAAGUCCAGGGCUCAACCCUGGAAGGCCGGUGGAAACUGUCGGGCUAGAGUCCGGAAGAGGCGAGUGGAACUCCUGGUGUAGCGGUGGAAUGCGCAGAUAUCAGGAAGAACACCAACGGCGAAGGCAGCUCGCUGGGACGGAACUGACGCUAAGGCGCGAAAGCGUGGGGAGCGAACAGG